CCUUUCUUCUUGUCCCACAGGGAAGCUACUUGGCACACACCCAGGGGAAAAAACAUCAGACCAACUUAGCUCGACGAGCUGCCAAAGAAGCCAAAGAGGCCCCAGCUCAGCCUGCUCCAGAAAAGGUGAAGGUGGAAGUGAAGAAAUUUGUGAAAAUUGGCCGGCCAGGAUACAAAGUAACCAAGCAGAGGGACCCAGAAACAGGCCAGCAGAGCCUCCUUUUCCAGGUAAAACACAUAUAAUUUUUAAAAUUUCUUUAAUAAAAAUUACAUGCCAGUAGUCCUCAACUUACAACCCAGUUGCUUAGCGACCAAUUGAAGUUAACGACAGAUUUCUCUUGGGGCUACUUCAGGCAUUGACAGCCAUUUGCAGCAUUCUGUGAUGACAUGAUUUGAGUUUACGGUGGUUUUGCCAAAAGCUGGCAUUUAUUUCUGGUUCACCAUUGUUCAUUCAACAACUGCAGCACUCGCUUCACCGCUGCAGAAAAGGUGGUAAAAUAUGGCCAGUCAAGUGACCGACCUGUUUUACGGCCAUCAU